GGGGGCGUUUUUGGAUUCGACGGGGAUAGUUCGAGCGCGGGUUGCGGGUAGUGGGGACGCGUCCACUAUAACAACGCUAAAGCCUAUUAAACGGCAAAACACAAAACAACUACGCUUUAGCAGCUUAAUAACCUGUUAGCGUGCUCCUCCCUAGCAUCGCCCAUGUGACUAGGAUAGGGGCUCAACUAUAGUGGGAUACGACGUUCGGUCUCCGCCUGGGGUCGACGUAAGAAGACAAUCAGGCUGACCCAACGCAUAGCCGGUUACGGGGCGCUGCUCGGGUGACAUCAAAACUGUGACUACACCCGUAGAUGCCUGUGUGGCGAUGUUUUCGGACAGGGGUUCGACUCCCCUCGCCUCCAUCU
rnacentral:tmRNA from 1 species